CCCAUCUUCCUGUCAACUUGUUAACUGAAAAAUGGUGAACUCUACCUCUCUCUAUUACUUGGAAACUCAGGGUCUUUGUUCUAACAUGGUGUGAUGAUAUUUGUGAAUUUUAGGCAACAGUCACAAAAGAGAAUAAAGUGUUGGUGACUGUGUAUUCAGAGAAGCAAGAACCAAGACUACCAGUUAAUCGCUACCAACGUGAUAGUGUGAAUAAAGCAGUGAGAAAUCAAUGGAAGCAAGAUGCGGCUAAUAAAGGAUACAAUAGGAGAACUGAACUCCUCAAGUAUUCUCAACACCUUCGAAAGUCUACACGGUCACCUGCAUCUCCAUAUAUCCGAACACCGGAGCCGAUCUCCUUGAAGAACAAACAACCGAUCGCAAGAAGCAUAGCGAUUAAUCUUGUAUGCUCUUCCUUUUCUCUUGUCAAUCUUUGUGGAAAGCCCAAGGGUACCAGAUUUACAUCUUGCUUCGGCAACCUGAUUCAAAGGUCUUACAAAGCUUUGACAAGUUUCCAACCAAAGAAAGAUGGAAAAAGGCAGAACCAAAGCAGUGGAUCAAGCAAGAAUGUUAAUGAUAAUGUAAAAAGCAGUGAAUCAAAAAGAAAGAAUACCAUUGAUAAAGUAAAGGGCAGAAGGAUAAGACUACUGAAAUUUACAUGCACUUAAUUUUAUAGAUCUCCAUGAAAUUUGUGGCUGUAGGCCCCAGAUUCCUCACUUGACUUUCUUUCAAGAGCAAUAUAAGUGAGGACUUAACCCCCACCCCCCCAAAAAAAAAAAAUCUUACAAACUAAUCUAUCAAAGUUCUGAAAAACUACUGGCAUUUACUUCUCAAGAAAUACCACCAUAAAAUGUAAAAUAUAUUAGUAGAUCAGUAUCUA